GACGAACGCUGGCGGCGUGCCUAAUACAUGCAAGUCGAACGCACUCUCGUUUAGAUUGAAGGAGCUUGCUCCUGAUUGAUAAACAUUUGAGUGAGUGGCGGACGGGUGAGUAACACGUGGGUAACCUGCCCUAAAGUGGGGGAUAACAUUUGGAAACAGAUGCUAAUACCGCAUAAAACCUAAACACCGCAUGGUGUAGGGUUGAAAGAUGGUUUCGGCUAUCACUUUAGGAUGGACCGCGGUGCAUUAGUUAGUUGGUGAGGUAAAGGGACUCACCAAGAACCGUGAUGCAUAGCCGA
rnacentral:rRNA from 1 species